AGCGGCGGACGGGUUAGUAACGCGUGGGAACGUGCCCUUUAGUACGGAAUAGCCAUUGGAAACGAUGAUUAAUACCGUAUACGCCCUAUGGGGGAAAGAUUUAUCGCUAAAGGAUCGGCCCGCGUUAGAUUAGGUUGUUGGUGGGGUAAUGGCCUACCAAGCCUACGAUCUAUAGCUGGUUUGAGAGGAUGAUCAGCAACACUGGGACUGAGACACGGCCCAGACUUCUACGGAAGGCAGCAGUAGGGAAUCUUGGACAAUGGGCGAAAGCCUGAUCCAGCCAUGCCGCGUGAGUGAUGAAGGCCCUAGGGUUGUAAAACUCUUUCGCCAGGGAAGAUAAUGACGGUACCUGGUAAAGAAACCCCGGCUAACUCCGUGCCAGCAGCCGCGGUAAUACGGAGGGGGUUAGCGUUGUUCGGAAUUACUGGGCGUAAAGCGCACGUAGGCGGACUAGUCAGUCAGAGGUGAAAUCCCGAGGCUCAACCUCGGAACUGCCUUUGAUACUGCUAGUCUAGAGUUCGAGAGAGGUGAGUGGAAUUCCGAGUGUAGAGGUGAAAUUCGUAGAUAUUCGGAGGAACACCAGUGGCGAAGGCGGCUCACUGGAUCGAUACUGACGCUGAGGUGCGAAAGCGUGGGGAGCAAACAGGAUU
rnacentral:rRNA from 1 species